UUUAUUGGAGAGUUUGAUCCUGGCUCAGGACGAACGCUGGCGGCGUGCCUAAUACAUGCAAGUCGAGCGGACAGAUGGGAGCUUGCUCCCUGAUGUUAGCGGCGGACGGGUGAGUAACACGUGGGUAACCUGCCUGUAAGACUGGGAUAACUCCGGGAAACCGGGGCUAAUACCGGAUG
rnacentral:rRNA from 1 species